UCAAGCUACAAAGGGCGCAUGGUGAAUGCCUUGGCAUCAGGAGCCGAUGAAGGACGUGAUAAGCUGCGAUAAGCUUCGGGUAGGCGCACAUAGCCAGUGAUCCGGAGAUUUCCGAAUGUGGGAACACACAUGGGAAACCCCAUGUAUCGUAUAGUGAAUACAUAGCUAUACGAGGGUAAACCUAGGGAACUGAAACAUCUAAGUACCUAGAGGAAGAGAAAGAAAAAUCGAUUUCCUUAGUAGCGGCGAGCGAAAGGGAAAGAGCCCAAACCAAAGAUUUAUCUUUGGGGUUGCGGACAGAGCAUUAACGAGAAGUCGUAAUUAACCGAACAUAACUGGAAAGUUAGACCGUAGGAGGUAAUAGUCCUGUAGGUGAAAGUUAUGAUAAUCAAGUUCUGAUCCAGAGUACCACGAGACACGUGAAACCUUGUGGGAAGCAGGGAGGACCACCUCCCAAGGCUAAAUACUACCUGAUGACCGAUAGUGAAGCAGUACCGUGAGGGAAAGGUGAAAAGAACCCCGGGAGGGGAGUGAAAUAGAACCUGAAACCGUGUGCCUACAACCGGUCAAAGCCCCUUAUGAGGGUGAUGACGUGCUUUUUGUAGAACGAGCCAACGAGUUACGGUAUGUAGCAAGGUUAAGUACUUAAGGUACGGAGCCGAAGGGAAACCGAGUCUUAAUAGGGCGACUAGUUGCAUGCCGUAGACCCGAAACCGGGUGACCUAUCCAUGGCCAGGUUGAAGCGAGGGUAAAACUUCGUGGAGGACCGAACCACGUUGCUGUUGAAAAAGCAUGGGAUGAGCUGUGGAUAGCGGAGAAAUUCCAAUCGAACUCGGAGAUAGCUGGUUCUCCCCGAAAUAGCUUUAGGGCUAGCGUCGGAUAUGUGUAGUGGAGGUAGAGCACUGAAUGGGCUAGGGGGCAUAUCGCUUACCGAACCUUAUCAAACUCCGAAUGCCAUAUACAUUAAGUCCGGCAGUCAGACUACGAAUGAUAAGAUCCGUGGUCAAAAGGGAAACAGCCCAGAUCGUCAGCUAAGGUCCCAAAGUGUAAGUUAAGUGGAAAAGGAUGUGGGAUUUCUAAGACAACUAGGAUGUUGGCUUAGAAGCAGCCACUCAUUUAAAGAGUGCGUAAUAGCUCACUAGUCGAGAGAUCCUGCGCCGAAAAUGUACCGGGGCUAAACUUACCACCGAAGCUACGGGCUUGCGUAAGCAAGCGGUAGGGGAGCGUCGUAAUCGGGCUGAAGUCGUACCGUAAGGAGCGGUGGACUGAUUACGAGUGAGAAUGUUGGCAUUAGUAGCGAGAUGUAGGUGAGAAUCCUACAGGCCGAAUAUCUAAGGUUUCCUCAGGAAGGCUCGUCCGCUGAGGGUUAGUCGGGACCUAAGCCGAGGCCGAAAGGCGUAGGCGAUGGACAAUCGGUUGAUAUUCCGAUACCACUACCAUCGUUAUUAUCGAGGGUGUGACGGAGAAGGAUAGUGUGUGCUAGCGAUUGGAAAUGCUAGUCUAAGCGUUUAGGGAGUUACGGUAGGCAAAUCCGCUGUAACAAUUCUGAGGCGUGAUGGGGAAGGCCAUAUAGGCCGAAGUACAUGAUUCCAUGCUUCCAAGAAAAGCAUCUAGAGAGAGAAGUAGUGCCCGUACCGCAAACCGACACAGGUAGAUGAGGAGAGAAUCCUAAGGCCGGCGGAAGAAUUGCAGUUAAGGAACUAGGCAAAUUGACCCCGUAAGUUCGCGAGAAGGGGUGCCUGCGAGAGCAGGCCGCAGAGAAUAGGCCCAAGCAACUGUUUAGCAAAAACACAGGUCUCUGCUAAAGCGUAAGCUGAUGUAUAGGGGCUGACGCCUGCCCGGUGCUGGAAGGUUAAGGGGAACACUUAGCGCAAGCGAAGGUGUGAACUUAAGCCCCAGUAAACGGCGGCCGUAACUAUAACGGUCCUAAGGUAGCGAAAUUCCUUGUCAGGUAAGUUCUGACCCGCACGAAUGG
rnacentral:rRNA from 1 species